rnacentral:tRNA from 1 species
UUUAAUUAGUAUAAAAGAGUACAUUUAAUUUCCAAUUAAAUAGUUUCUAAAGAAAUUAAAU